rnacentral:rRNA from 1 species
CGCCCGUCGCACCUACCGAUUGAAUGAUUCGGUGAAAAUUUCGGACUGUGGCUCGUUUGCUUUACUGUGAGCUUGCCGUGGGAAGUUAUUUAAACCUCAUUAUUUAGAGGAAGGUGAAGUCGUAACAAGGUUUCC